AUUGAACGCUGGCGGCAGGCUUAACACAUGCAAGUCGAGCGGAGCGAGGGUGCUUGCACCUUAGCUUAGCGGCGGACGGGUGAGUAAUGCUUAGGAAUCUGCCUAUUAGUGGGGGACAACAUUCCGAAAGGGAUGCUAGUACCGCAUACGCCCUACGGGGGAAAGCAGGGGAUCUUCGGACCUUGCGCUAAUAGAUGAGCCUAAGUCGGAUUAGCUAGUUGGUGGGGUAAAGGCCUACCAAGGCGACGAUCUGUAGCGGGUCUGAGAGGAUGAUCCGCCACACUGGGACUGAGACACGGCCCAGACUCCUACGGGAGGUAGCAGUGGGGAAUAUUGGACAAUGGGCGGAAGCCUGAUCCAGCCAUGCCGCGUGUGUGAAGAAGGCCUUUUGGUUGUAAAGCACUUUAAGCGAGGAGGAGGCUACUAGUAUUAAUACUACUGGAUAGUGGACGUUACUCGCAGAAUAAGCACCGGCUAACUCUGUGCCAGCCGCCGCAGUAA
rnacentral:rRNA from 1 species